GGCUCGGUAGCUAAGUCGGUAAAGCACUUGUAUAAGGGUCGUGGACCGUGAGUUAAAAUCUCACUUGAGCUG
rnacentral:tRNA from 1 species